rnacentral:rRNA from 1 species
GACGAACGCUGGCGGCGUGCUUAACACAUGCAAGUCGAACGGGAAGGGCCUGCUUUUGUGGGGUGCUCGAGUGGCGAACGGGUGAGUAACACGUGGGUAACCUCCCCUUGACUUUGGGAUCACCUCAAGAAACUUGGGCUUAUACCGGAUAGGAGCUCCUGCUGCAUGGUUGGGGGUGGAAAGUUUCGGCGGGUGGGGGUGGACUCGCGGCUUAUCAGCUUGUUGGGGGGGGAGUGGCUUACCAAGGCGUUGACGGGUAGCCGGCCUGAGAGGGUGACCGGCCACAUUGGGACUGAGAUACGGCCCAGACUCCUACGGGAGGCAGCAGUGGGGAAUAUUGCACAAUGGGCGGAAGCCUGAUGCAGCAACGCCGCGUGCGGGAUGACGGCCUUCGGGUUGUAAACCGCUUUCGCCUGUGACGAAGCGUGAGUGACGGUAAUGGGUAAAGAAGCACCGGCUAACUACGUG